rnacentral:tRNA from 1 species
GGCGGGGUACAGCUCAGCGGUAGGGCGUAUGCCUAGCAUGUACAAGGUCCUGGGUUCAAUCCCCAGCACCGCCU